GAUGAACGCUGGCGGCGUGCCUAAUACAUGCAAGUCGAGCGAACGGACGAGAAGCUUGCUUCUCUGAUGUUAGCGGCGGACGGGUGAGUAACACGUGGAUAACCUACCUAUAAGACUGGGAUAACUUCGGGAAACCGGAGCUAAUACCGGAUAAUAUUUUGAACCGCAUGGUUCAAAAGUAAAAGACGGUCUUGCUGGCACGUAUAGAUGGAUCCGCGCUGCAUUAGCUAGUUGGUAAGGUAACGGCUUACCAAGGCAACGAUGCAUAGCCGACCUGAGAGGGUGAUCGGCCACACUGGAACUGAGACACGGUCCAGACUCCUACGGGAGGCAGCAGUAGGGAAUCUUCCGCAAAGGGCGAAAGCCUGACGGAGCAACGCCGCGUGAGUGAUGAAGGUCUUCGGAUCGUAAAACUCUGUUAUUAGGGAAGAACAUAUGUGUAAGUAACUGUGCACAUCUUGACGGUACCUAAUCAGAAAGCCACGGCUAACUACGUG
rnacentral:rRNA from 1 species